UUACCCCCUCUUUCUGAAUUUUUUCACUUCACAACGAUCCUUUUUCUCUUCUCCUCUCUGAAAUCACUUCCAAAUACAAAUUUUUAUAAUUUCUGUUUGAUAUCUGAUCUUAUUAGUUUCAAAUGGUUCGAUUAUUAUUAUUUUCAGCAGUAUUUCUCGCUUUUGAAUUUCGUAUAUGAUAUCUAGGGCUCUUGGUUCGUUUUUUAGGGUUUUUGAAUUUCGCUUAUGGAGUUUCUGUUUUUUAUGGGUUCUAAUAAGAUUAUGUUGUAAUUUAGGAUAUUGGGUUUAGGAAAAGUUAGGGUUUUGAUUUGUUCUUUACUCUGCGUGAGAUGGUAAAUCCUAGACUUUAAAUUUUUCGUUAUCAAUCUGUGUAGAUGAUAAUGAAGAUUUACGUGAAAUCCAUUUAUCAGACAUUGCUAGAAAGUUCCAACAGAGGAAAUUCAAUGGUCUUCGAGAUAUGUGGAUGUACAUAAAUCUGUUUUCUUUGCGAUUUGUCUUCCUAAUAUACUUGGGAUGCAUUCAAAAGAACACAAGUUUUAGUACAAAAAAGUACUUUAUCUGGGAGUGUCAUCUUGCGGUCGAAAUCAUCAUCCUGGUGGAGUUUUCUCAAGCAACGGGAUAGCCGAAAAAGCAACAUUUGUGGCAGGGUUGUCUGUGUUGAUAUGACCUCGAGAUAACAACGAGCGGGGUGAUAGGCAUGAUUGUCCUAGGAUAAGAAGAGAAAAUAGUUUUUCUAGAAUUAAAACUCCACUGCGUCGCAGAAGUAGAUCGAGUCCUGAUUAUGAAGGGGCGAAACAAUCAAGAGGUGUUUUUCCAGUGGUAAAAGAUUAGAUUGAGUCCUGAUUAUGGACGGAGGAACUUAGGAGAUCAUUGCCUAAUAAUAUAAAUUUUAUCCAGGUCGCUCAACAGUUCAACGCUCAUUCAAUGGAUUGUUCACCAGCUCCCUGCUCACCUAUUUGCGUACCGGUUCCCCUGCAGGCAGUUCACCUGUUCGUUGAUCCCAUCCUGAAUGCUCAACUAUUUUCUGUUUUCUCAUUUGUUGGUCAUUUGGAGAAAUGACCAUACACCUGGCGGUUCUCAAAAUGACCUUUUACCAGUUUGUCGACCAUUCACCUGUUUGGAGUCGUAAGGAUUUGAAUAAAAAACCAAUGUGCAUAAGCUGUGGUGGAGGAGGUUGCAUUUUUGUAGGCCAGGUUGGCAUACUUCUUGGGCAAGAGCCAUUGGAAAAAUGAUUUCAUCUCAAAGGCUGGCAUUGUCUCUGACUCUCUGGAACCGAGUAUUUUCAUACAAGAGCAAGUCUCAAAGGAUGGUUCUUUGAUUAAACAUAUAGGAAUGAUAUUUGUAAUAUUUAUUUCUUUUGCAGUGGUGAUCAUAUAAGAACCAUGAGGUAAUUGAUUUGAUGUGCUUGAUUAUGAUGCUUUUAUGAGUUUCUGAUUCUCACCUUUGCAGGUUCACAACAACCACUUAAGGUGAAGUUUUACUUUUCUGUUUAAGGUGUAUAUUUUCCAUAAUUUUCAAGUUUUUUUAUUUUUUUAUUUUAAAGUUUUCGUACUUUUUGGUCCUAAAAAAACAUAGUGGAGCUAUAGACGAGUUGUUAAGUAAAGUGUAGUGUCAAUCGAGCAUAACUUUGAUUGCAAUGGCAUAAAGACUAGAGAGCAAUGAUUUACAAGAAUGAAGUGUAGAUUAGAAAUGACGGCAAUGGGAAAUCCACAACUACGAAAAGCGAGACUACAGCAUGUGAAUUUAGUUUAAUGAUGUCAGUAAUGAUAGUUAAUAUUCAAAAAUAGGCAAUUCGCCUGAUAUGUGUGCUUUACGUGGUUCUCUGAUUUGUUUAGUUAUCCGUAGUAGAGCUUUGAAAGAAGUUCUUUCGGUGUUUAUUGAUAUCUAUUGCUAGGUGAUUGCAUAAUAGGCAAUUCACAAGUGUAAACUUCUGUUUCAUCUGUUUUUAAACCUUAAUGAUAUUUUAUUAUUCGGCAAAGCGGUCAUAUUAAGUUCACUAUUUCAUUAUUCAGUAAAGAUACCAUAUUAACUCCUUUUUUUCAGUUAUCUAAAUUACAAACGUUCUAUGGUGAUUAGCUGCUUGAAUUUCAGUUUUCUCUCAUUGCAGAAUGCACAUGUAUAUGUUGGUGGUUUUGUGUAGUUACUGCAAGUCAGAAGCUGUUCACCUUUCCCUAGCUUUAUUCAGUGUCGUUUUUAAACCAUUUAAGCUCCAUGACUAAUUUUUUGUUGUUUCCUUUUAAUCAGAAGCUGUUCACCUUUCCCUAGCUUUAUUCAAUGUCGUAUUUAAAUUAUUUAAGCUCCAUGACUAAUUUUUUGUUGUUUCCUUUUAAAUUAGGAUGUCGAGGUGCAUACUUAUCUCUAUCUGUGCUCACAUUUUGUCUCUUCUUAUACAUAAGCAAAAUUCGUUUUUUUUUUCUGUAAGAUCAUUGACCAUAUAACUUUAGAUCAUCCAUGAAGUUAGCAUAAGGAAGUUGAGUAAAGCAAGAAAUUAUUUUCUUUUCACACUUAUCAGAAGAAUGAGGGUGUUGCAAUCCAUGUAUAUUGUAUCUUUAUAGUGUAAUAGUUUUUGGCACCCUUAGUAAAUGUAGAAAAAUAAGGAAUACUUUUAGUCUAAGACACGGAGUAGAAAAUCCUCUGAUCUUUUCCAUUCGCUAACACCUUUGCCUGAAUUACUGCACCACCAUUUGGUAUAAUAAUGUGCCAAGCAAUCUAUAUAACUCUAUUAACUGUUUCUGUAAAUUAUUUUCAGAUACUAAUUAAGCAAAGCAAUAGGUGCCGGAGUGAUACCGGUUAGUGUGGUUCUUGCAGACACGAACAUAGAGCUAUGCAUUAAGCCAGGGGUUCAAAUGUAUUCUGGAGGUACUUUAAAUCCAUCACCCUAACUAUUGCAUCAAUUGGACUAUUUCUUGAUCCAUGUCAACACCACUACGCCUUGCAGACACGCUACGAUUCCUAUUCAUGAUCUGAGAGCUCAAAUGGAAGAGCACAUGGUUCUCAACCAUGUAGUUGUAGGUUCGACUCCUACAGAUGGCAUUAUCAUGUGAGUAAACAAAUGGCAAAAACAGUGAUUCCAUUGUUUGAUGCACUCAGAAUGGGACUCCAACAUAAGAUAUAGAGUUGGACCAGGGUCUUGGAGAAGCUUUUGGGAAGUCUGCUUGCUUAAGAGAUAUUCCUUCAAUCUUAUUUGGCGCCAGAGUCCAUCGCGAUUUGUCGAAGGUUUGUUUUAUUCUUAUCAAGACCUAAUUACACUUGGUCAAUUCUUCUCAUACCGCCACCAGAAUCUAUACCUUCAUCUACUUCUCGAGCAGCAACAGUGUUUCAGUGAACCACAUCAUCGUUUUCUCAUACUUAAGCAAGUGCUUUCGUCAUCUUCAUCUUAUGUUUGUUGAUUUUAGUUGAAAUUGAAGGGAUUUUCUAGGAAGUGGCAAUCCAAUGAUGCAAGUGACUUCAAUUGAGGUAUCAGAAGCCUUUGGGAGCAGAAACUGAAGUUCAAUUUUUGUUCCUACCGGAAGUGCAUGUGAUGAAGGGUGGGGUGGGGUAACCUGCAGGGUUUUUACGGUACCCGGUACCUAAUCAGAGAUCCUGUAUAAUACAGUGUUAUGCUUCCCUCUACGAAAGUUGGGUGUGCAGCUCGAUAAAUGUCUCGAUCUUCCAGUUUGCGUGGUUGAUGGAAGGUAGGAACAAUAUUCUAUUCAAGAGAAUGAUGGAAUUGAUCAUGCUUGCAAAAUAAGGCACAACUUGGUUGUUAAUAUCUGUUGAGAUCACGUCAUGUCGUUGAAAAAUUGAAUUUCAUAUCGCUUAUAUAUAAUCAAUUGAAAAAAAGGCGUUUCCAUCUCGUGUUGUUAUUGGCUCAAUGUAUGAUUUUAACCAACUCAUUUGUUGUUUGCUUGCUAUUUGGCUCA